AGCGAACGCUGGCGGCAGGCUUAACACAUGCAAGUCGAACGAAAGCCCAGUAAAACUUUCUUCUAUCAGGCGGAGAGUCGAGCAGGGGAGUAACGCAUAAUCAACCUUACCUUCUGAUGGGGGCUACAGUUGGGAACGACUCGUAAUUCCCCAUACGGUCUAAUGUGUGCAUCCAGGAGAUAUUAGAGGUUUCCGCUACAGAUAAGCUAUCUGUCGGAUUGGCUAGUUGGUGGGGUAAAGGCCCACCAAGGCGAAGAUCCGUAGCAGGUCUGAGAGGAUGAUCAGCCACACUGGGACUGAGACACGGCCCAGACUCCUACGGGAGGCAGCAGUGGGGAAUCUUGCGCAAUGGACGCAAGCCUGAUGGAGCCAUACCGCGUGAGUGAUGAAGGCCUUCGGGUUGUAAAGCUCUGUUGUUCGGGAAGAAAGGCAUCAUUGUAAAUCCCCGGAAGGAUGGCCGGACCCGAAAUAGAAGGACACGGUAACUUCCGU
rnacentral:rRNA from 1 species